rnacentral:lncRNA from 1 species
ACUAUGUUUGGUUUUGAUCCACUUUCAUAACUUAAGAACCCGAGAGAUUUGUCACCAUCAAUGGGUAGUGUACACAGGCCAGUAGAUGCAUAUAAAUCCCGAGAUAUAAAUAUCAGACGGAGAAAGCCAAGCCCAGCAACCUAGAACCGAGGCCCAAUAACAUGCCAUAAUGUGGACCCUUUCUUGAUUAAGAUGCUAUAAAUUUUUAUGCUAUUUCUCAUAUGUGCAGUGUUAUAGAAAGUCAAUAAACCAGGGAAAAAAAAGGAUUCUUAUUCAUUAUGUCCACUAGAAAUAUUGAAUGUUCCAAAGUUUAGGCCAAAGUAAUAAAUGUCCCCUCAAUAGAUAAGACUAAAGUAAUAAUCUUGCAAUGGACUUCCAUUUGAGGAAGAGUUAGAUUUUGUGUACUCAAACAUGUGUGAAACGUUGGAUUGGAAUGUAAGCAGUGAAAUGCAUGCAAGCCUAAAAACAGGCAAGCAUUAUGCAGUUGUUGAUUGGUGAAGAAGGUAUCAUAUCAUAUAGUUUUAUCUUGCUGCCCCACAUGCAUUAUUAGAUUCAAAUAUCGAGAGCAUGACCCGCUUUCAUAGCAAGUUAAUCCAAAACAACAUUUGCAAGUGAUGGUUGAUUUAUUGUGUAUAAAAUUAAUAAUAAGAUAGUAUAAUAUUAAGAAAUCCUAGCUUAUUAAUUAACAAGUGGGCCAAGUCCAGCUGAACAUUGGCUGUGAAAACCUUUUAUCAAGUAAGAUGCUUUUUGGUGUUGCAGAUUAUAUCACUCACAUGUGCAACUUUAUAUAAAUAAACAUAACAUGCAAAAUAUUUCAAUGAAAAUCAAAUGAAUAAAGUCAACAAGUUGUAUACAAAUAGAACAAAACACUAAGCUUCCACUUAGAACCCUACGUAACAUUUUUUUAUUAUUUUUUUUAAUUCACUAAUGUUGUGUUUUAUUAUACAAAAGCACACAAGAAGUGUUGUGUUGGAAGGUUGAAAAGGUCACCAUGCAU